rnacentral:lncRNA from 1 species
UGUGUUCCCCUUGUUUCCUUUUGUCCACAACUCAAAGACAACACACACACAAAAGAAAUCCGCAGACCAAGCAAACACAAACAAACAUCAUCACCUCCAACUCUCGCUCGUCUGAAUAUCGCCGGCUCCGGCAACCGGAGCCACUUCCGGCGACAAACACCACAACCCUCCUCCUUCACUAUAACACUUCCAUAACCGGUAUCACCUCUGUAAUCCAUCAUCGGAGAUCGGAGAACAAACAGGAGAAAACCCCUGAGUCGCCAAACUCACCGGAGCCUUACCGGAGUCCGAGGGAUCAACCGAAGACCUACGGACAUCGCGACGGGGAGCAUUCCAUCUCGUUCGACCACAUAAUCGCUCGCUGGAAGAACUCGAAGUGUUUUCCGGAGUAAUCGAGACGCCGUCGGAGUAACCAAGUUUGUCAGAGAUCACGACGAAAACCGUUUCGGCAUCGUUUAUCGGAUAACCUCUCUCGUUCGUUCCCUUGGAUUCUCACUCUUUACUUGUACGUUACAAGAAAUCGCAACGCAACCAAGGAUUGUGACAGAUGAAUCCAGUAGGAUUGCCUAGAAACGCAUUUAAACUUUGUUGCUCGUUGUAUUGUAAUCUACUUUCAAUCCUGUUGUAUUCUGGUUCCAAUACAUGUAAUAAUUCAUUAUUAAUGAAAUGAAUUAUAAUUACUUGAAUACUUAUUGUGCAUUAUUUAUUUUAAAUUUGAUUGUGACAGAUGAAUCCAGUAGGAUUGCCUAGAAACGCAUUUAAACUUUGUUGCUCGUUGUAUUGUAAUCUACUUUCAAUCCUGUUGUAUUCUGGUUCCAAUACAUGUAAUAAUUCAUUAUUAAUGAAAUGAAUUAUAAUUACUUGAAUACUUAUUGUGCAUUAUUUAUUUUAAAUUUGUUAUGUUCUAGAUCAAACCAUGUAAAAUGUAAACAUUGAAUACUUGACACACAUAAGCGUUAUGAAGUCUCGAGCAAUCUACACACUUCGUC